GCCAAAGUCUAACCUUAUAUUUCUACUUAAUCAGAAAUAUUAGUUUAUUUUAUUUUAACAAAUAACCAGGAAGUAGCAAUGGGGUCGAAGCAUUUGACUGUCGUUUACAUCAAUUUUUAAAAGUGAAAAUAUCUGACUGUGCCAGGAUUCCCAUUUUUGUGACAAAACUUUAGGAAAAAAGAGAAGAAAAUUAAAUGGCUAUCUAAAGG